UAUGACCAUAUCAUGCUGAAACACUGGUUUUCAUAUGAUCACCAAUGUUAUGCAACGUUGAGCCUGGUCGGUACCGAAAUGGGUGACCACUUGGGAAUACCAGGUGCUGUAUG